GGAGGAAUAGUCCUAACUGGUAAGGCAGCGGUCUUGAAAACCGCCGGGUUAUGCCCAUGGGGGUUCGAAUCCCUCUUCCUCCGCCA
rnacentral:tRNA from 1 species